CCGAGAAGAAUGGCAAGCCUUCCUUGCCCAUGCUGCAUGUGUGUUUUCUCUAAACAUCACAGUUGCUGUAAAACUUUAAUAUGGUAAAGGCCAAAAGGGGCUUCCCAGACUGCAAAUGAAAGGCAGUAAGGCUCUCCUGUGACCCAGACUUCAGCUUAUCAUUAAUGCACCUCCUCGAAAGGUGCUUCACACACUUAGCCAGAUCUGCACAGAGGAGAUUAAUGUAAAAACAAGCAGAAAAUGAAGAAAAAGAGCAAAGGCGUCUCGUAAAAUCCAAUCACCAUCUGCCUCUUCAAAUCCAGCAGCACUAGGGGAGGAAAGCUCCAAGAGAAAGAGAGAGGGGCAAGUAAAUUUUGAUGGGAGAAAAUGCAGCAAUAAAUCUGAAGUAUUAACAUACAAUGGAAGACCUUCAUAAGUUACAAGCCACUGGAGAAGAGAAGCGUGUGUACCAGAACACUGCUCAGAUGGAGGAGUGGGAAAAAGAUCUUCAAGAGGAAGACAUUUUUUCUUCAGUUUUGCAAUAUUCUAUCCACCUACACAAAAGCCAAGAAACAUUGCAUGCCUAGUGUGGACUUCAAAAAUAAUAUAGAAAUGGAAAUAAUAAUUCUCUUAAAAGCUCCAUUAUACAGAAUACAGAGUAAAAUGUUCAUGCUCAAUUCCUCUCCCCUUUCCACUCACCUACCCCAAAGAUAACUACUUUAGAAAGUUUAUAGUUUUUCUAUGUAUUUACAUAUUUUUCAAAUAUAAAUGAUUACAUAUUUACAUUAUCAGCCCAUAAAGCUUUUUUUCUCUUUAAACAGCUACAUGUAUACUAGAUUAUACAUGAACCCUAUUUGGCCACCCUCCUUUGGAUGGACAAUGGAGGUUUGCUAUCUGUAUUAUUAAAAACAUUCUUCCAUGAUCAUCCUUUUUUAAGUCAAAGCCCUGUAUGUCCAUGAAUCACUACAUAAACUUAAGAAAGGAAGACAAAUAAUUAAAGUUAACUUAAUGAAUAGUUUUCCUUUAUAAAGAGAAUUGUGAAAUGUACCAAUGGAAUUAAGACCGAAUUAAAACACACUUUUCAAUAAAUAUAUGAAAGUAUUUUUCAAAGUAGACAUCACUUCUCUAAUAUGCAUAAGGAAGACAGUUUAUAAAGGGAGAAAUAUUCUGAUCUUGAACCUGGAUCAAAAAAAAAAAAAGAAGAAAGAAAGGGAGAAAUAGGAAAGAGACAGAUAAAAUCUUUAUGCUUUCCAAAGCUCAGUAACACAGUAUUAAUACAUUUGUCAAUACAUUUUCUAAAACAAAGCAUCUCAGCUUUUGAAAGUUCAAAAAUAUUGAUUUGGGUAAAUUUGCCAAGUUUAAGAAUUUGCCAAGUUUAAGAAUUAUUACUUAAAAUAUAGUGGCAGAAACUUUCUUCAGAUCCUCUAAUUUCUUAAUUUCCAGCGAAAAAAAUAUUAGCUCUGUAGACUACACAGAUUUUAGGAACCAGAAGUUAAAUUUCAUAGAAUAAUACCCUUGUCCUACAAUCCCCUAACUUCUAGAAUAUUGUUACAAAAUACUUUUGAAAGUACAUUACAUUUUUUAUCCAUAUAUAUGUGGGUCAACUUAUAUUAAGUCAAGGCAGAGAUCAGAUAUAGGGGAUAGUUCAUCUUCUUUUCCCUGCUCCUACAGUAAAAGUCGCCAAACUUGCAAUUCUUUUAAGACUGUAU